rnacentral:tRNA from 4 species
GCCACCCUAGCUCAGUUGGUAGAGCAUUCGAUUCGUAAUCGAAAGGUCGUCGGUUCAAAUCCGACGGGUGGCUCCA